rnacentral:rRNA from 1 species
UACGGAGGGCGCAAGCGUUAAUCGGAAUCACUGGGCGUAAAGCGUGCGUAGGCUGUUUGAUAAGUCAGGCGUGAAAUCCCUCGGCUCAACCGGGGAACUGCGCUUGAUACUGUCGAACUCGAGUCCUGGAGAGGGUGGCGGAAUUCCUGGUGUAGGAGUGAAAUCCGUAGAUAUCAGGAGGAACACCGGUGGCGAAGGCGGCCACCUGGACAGGUACUGACGCUGAGGCACGAAAGCGUGGGGAG